AACGAACGCUGGCGGCAGGCCUAACACAUGCAAGUCGAGCGGACCUUUCGGGGUCAGCGGCGGACGGGUGAGUCACGCGUGGGACUAUGCCCUUCUCUACGGAAUAGUCCUGGGAAACGGGGGGUAAUACCGGAUACGCCACUCGGGGGCCAGAUUCAUCGGGCUAGGAUUAGCCCGCGUUGGAUUAGGUGGUCGGUGGGGUAAGGGCCGACCAAGCCGACGUUACCUAGCGGGUUUGAGAGGAUGGUCCGUCACUCUGGGACUGGGACACGGCCCAGACUCCUACGCGAUGCAGCAGUGGGUAAUCUUAGCCUAUCGCGUCAACCCUGAUCGAGCCAUGCCGCGUGAGUGAUGAUGUUCUUAGGGUUGUAAAGCUCUUUCAGCUGGGAAGAUAAUGACGGUACCAGCAGAAGAAGCCCCGGCUAACUCCGUG
rnacentral:rRNA from 1 species